GGUAGAGCAGCUCAAGUGGUAGAGCGCGUGCUUAGCAUGCAUGAGGCCCUGGGUUCAAUCCCCAGUACCUCCU
rnacentral:tRNA from 1 species